UACAGAGGUCUCAAGCGUUGUUCGGAUUCAUUGGGCGUAAAGGGUGCGUAGGCGGCGCGCUAAGUCAGGUGUGAAAUUUCGGAGCUUAACUCCGAAACUGCAUUUGAUACUGGCGUGCUUGAGGACUGGAGAGGAGACUGGAAUUCACGGUGUAGCAGUGAAAUGCGUAGAGAUCGUGAGGAAGACCAGUGGCGAAGGCGGGUCUCUGGACAGUUCCUGACACUGAGGCACGAAGGCCAGGGGAGCAAACGGG
rnacentral:rRNA from 1 species